AGGGCAGCUGGAAAUGUAAAUUAACUAUCGUGAAACAGAGGAUUCAAGGAGGGCAAACCAUGGAAUUGGUGCUUCUACUUGUUGAAGUGGUGGGUUUAUUGCAGCAAAGACAGGAAGAGAAUACAAGUUUGAGGACUCUCUUGAGGACUUGGCCACGUAAAGGAAUCCAACGAGGUGCUGCUUUGGCACUUGUUGCGGCUGCUGCACCACGUGGGGGAUGUCCUCCUCGAACCCUCGUGGUCGUGGCUGCUUGAGGUUGGCAACUAGACGCAGCCAUAAUGACAAGUGGGGGUGUUGAAACCUGGAAAGUGGGGAAGCAGGGGCUGGGAAGGAUCGGUUGGGUUUGGAUUUUGUUGGGCACCAACUCACACGCCGACCUGUUGGAGAUAUAAAAGCGAAAUGUGGCUAUUUAAAAGCGUGGGCAAACCGAGUAAAGCAGCGUGUGAAGAAGAGUUCGGUUGGUGGGUUUAUAAGUGAAUGAAACCGCGCUUAUUAUUUGUGAGAUGUAGACUCGUUCCUCGAUGUGGAAACCCAUAUAUUUUUCCCCAAAGCCCCAAUCUUUACAUCAGUAAUAAUAGUAGCUUAAAGGAGCGAAGGGGGGGUUACUUUCAACUGAACGCGUCCUCUCCCUCUUCCACUCCCAUCGAUUUCACAAAAUAUUCUAAAUUCAAGCCAAACACACGCUUUUGCGUUAAAAGGUUUCAUCACCAUUUUGUGCAAUACCUGCCUAACAAGUCAUUUUCAAAGGGUUGAUGGAUAAUUUCUGCCCAUAAUGAAGACUGAAGAGAAUUAUUACUUCUCUAAUGAAACUGGUUUAAUGGUUUCAACUUUCAAGUCAAAUAGCAAGAUAUGUGUUUACACUGGCAAGUGACGAGUGGGAGAACAUUUUCCUCCAAGACAUAAAAUCAAUAGGAAUUCGUAAAGUAAAAGGUACAGUGACACGCACGUAGUAGUUUUUUCUUGUUUACACUUCACUUGAUUACAAAAUUCAUUUUACUAUAUAUAAUUUAGGCUUACAGAUAGUAAUAGUUUUUACGUAGUAUGUUCGUUUUAGAUAAGCAAAGUACUAUGUUUUAACCAGAUCUAUAAUUUAAAAUACGAUAUGAUAAAAUAUUAUGAACAUAAUACAAAAAUAAGAUAUGAAAGUGAUAUGAUCU